AGGUAUAGUUCAGUGAAGACUGCUUGCCUAGUAAGAGUGACACCCUAGGUUCCCAGGACCAACAAAACUUAAAAAAUUUAAAAAGGAAGACGAAGAAGAAGCUUGAUCUAGCAGCACAGCAGUAUCUAUCGUCCACUUCUCAAGCAGAGUCUCCAACUGUGGUGUUUUAUACCAUUCACUACAGCCACCGAGAUGGAGUCCAUUUCCUCCCUGGGAGCCAGCCUCGAGCGACGCGAUGGUGAAUAACUACUGACUUUGAGUCAUAAAAGACAACACAGCUUCUGCGGGGCUCUUAUUCUGUUUAGAACACCACCUGCCUUGGAAUCCUGGAGCCUUCGUGUAAGAAGUCUGGGCAUCUGGAGGCCACCAUGUUCGGAAGACCCUCAGAGAGCCCACAUACUGCUGAAGAGACUCCCCAAAGAGCUCCAGCCGUCCAGCCCCAGCUCUCUGACCUUCCAGCAUCAAGCACGCACACGAGUGAGUGAGCCUUGGGUGAACAGCGAACAGUCAGCAGUGCUGGAUCCCGAAAUUAAGAUCCAGCAUUUGCACCACCCUUGCCCAUGCCAAGGGGAGCCGGCCUGUGGAUCAGUCACCCCAGCUGACACAGUGGCGCAGAGGUGAGCCGUCCCUGAUGAGCCCGGCCUGCAAUGCACGCACGUCGGUGAGCAAAAUGAAUGCUGCUGUCUUAAACCAAUCCUACUUCCGUGACCACAGUGAUGGGUCGGAGGUCGCUGGCCUCAGAUCAUGCUGGCCUGACUCCUGGCGACAGUGAAAAUACUCAGGGCACCGGCUUGAACACUCAGCUGAAGAUUUCCAUCUGUCCGGCUUUCUGGUCUCACCCGUGCCGGCCCUAUGGAGUGGAGAGGCAGAUUUGGGGAAGAAGAGUCUAACCACUCCGCACUCCAUGGGGAAGCUCCUGUUGCUACCAGCUGCUGAGUCCGUACGCUCAGAAAGGGGAAAUGUAGACAGUGAGAAAGACCUGCAUAGAGGGAAAACAGCGUGACAAGACACACACACGGGGAACUGUCCAUUUGCCAGCCAAGGAUAGAGGGCUUGAGCACAUCCUCCCUCGGAAGCCCUCAGAAGGUACCAACUCUGCCAUCACCUUCAGUUUGGACUUCCAGCCUCAGAACGAUGAGACGAUAAAUUGCUGCUUAAGCCACUUGGUCUUCCGCUCUUUGUUACUGCAGCCCUAGCAAACUAACAUAGGGCUGAUCCAAAACCCUUGUCUGUUAGAGGCGUGAAGGUGUUAAAAGGCACUAAAGUCUAACUUCCAAAAAAGCCUGGACCCUGGCUCGAGCUCAUCUUUCCCUGGCAAACUGAACUUUCAAAGAAACCCACUCCUGUUGAGGUACAAGUAAGUGGAAAGGCUACUCUACCUAUCUUCCACCAAGUUUUUCACUGUUUUGUUUUGUUUUGUUUUGUUUGUUUGUUUUGUCUUUUUUGAGACAAGGUCUCACUGU